rnacentral:rRNA from 1 species
UACGGAGGGAGCUAGCGUUGUUCGGAAUUACUGGGCGUAAAGCGCACGUAGGCGGCUUUUUAAGUCAGGGGUGAAAUCCCGGGGCUCAACCCCGGAACUGCCCUUGAAACUGGAGAGCUAGAAUCUUGGAGAGGCGAGUGGAAUUCCGAGUGUAGAGGUGAAAUUCGUAGAUAUUCGGAAGAACACCAGUGGCGAAGGCGACUCGCUGGACAAGUAUUGACGCUGAGGUGCGAAAAGCGUGGGGAGCAAACAGG